rnacentral:rRNA from 1 species
UACGUAGGGUGCGAGCGUUGUCCGGAAUUAUUGGGCGUAAAGAGCUUGUAGGCGGUCUGUCGCGUCUGCUGUGAAAAUCCGGGGCUCAACCCCGGACUUGCAGUGGGUACGGGCAGACUAGAGUGCGGUAGGGGAGAUUGGAAUUCCUGGUGUAGCGGUGGAAUGCGCAGAUAUCAGGAGGAACACCAAUGGCGAAGGCAGAUCUCUGGGCCGUAACUGACGCUGAGGAGCGAAAGCGUGGGUAGCAAACAGG